rnacentral:rRNA from 1 species
AGAAUCAACGCUGGCGGCGUGCCUAACACAUGCAAGUCGAACGAGAAAGUGGAGCAAUCCAUGAGUAAAGUGGCGCACGGGUGAGUAACACGUGACUAACCUACCCUUGAGUGGGGAAUAACUUCGGGAAACCGAGGCUAAUACCGCAUAACACCUACGGGUCAAAGGAGCAAUUCGCUUAAGGAGGGGGUCGCGGCAGAUUAGUUAGUUGGCGGGGUAAUGGCCCACCAAGACAGUGAUCUGUAUCCUGCCUGAGAGGGCGCACGGACACACUGGAACUGAAACACGGUCCAGACUCCUACGGGAGGCAGCAGUGGGGAAUUUUGCGCAAUGGGGGAAACCCUGACGCAGCAACGCCGCGUGGAGGAUGAAGUCUCUUGGGACGUAAACUCCUUUCGAUCGGGACGAUAAUGACGGUACCGAGAGAAGAAGCCCCGGCUAACUUCGCGCCAGCAGCCGC